AGUAACAUCGUGAGUGAGUUUUGUGCAAUUUUCCUACCCACACUGUACUGAUUAAGUUUUUUUUUGGGUUAAUCAAACAACAUUAAAUUAGUUCCGUUUUUCAAUGAGUUUUCAAGUACUACCACCGAUAAUAAUUUGAUUAAUUUGCAAAAGUGACUUAUUUUUUUUGUUGUCCGGCACGGAUCGUCAGUAAACAUUCGACUGUUAGUUCAAGCGCAAACGGAUCGAAACCGAAACCGAAACCGAAAAAACAACAGACACUUAUUAAAACCAAAAAAAAAAUCGCAACACCCUUUCCGUUCAGGGCGAUAGAAAACGGCUGCAACACUUCUCUAUCUUCUACCGCCUGCAAUCUGUUGCUUUCUUUAGUUCUGUGUAUUUUCUACUACUACUACUACUGAUUCUAUUUGUCUUUCAUGGAAUUUUCCGCCUCUCCGGAAAAGUCCCGCCCGGAAAUCUGAAACUUUAUUUUCGUUUCUCUCUUACCGUUUCCGUUUUCGCCCUGCGCUUGCCACCGUCUGUCUGUCCCGUUCGUCAUCUGUUCGUCUGUUUGUACUAAAAUAAUGGCUAUUUGAUCAAAAUUUAAUUACUUUUUCACAACUCUUCUUCGGAGGUUUUGUUCCGACGGGUCUGGAUUUUUCUUUCAAUUUAUGUAAUUACUUUCUUUGAAAUCGAAUCUGUUGUAACAACUUUUCGAGCCGCUAGCGAAAACCCGGUUUUACAACAAAAAAAAAACUAACCGAAGUCAUCGUCGUCCGCGUGUUCCGGAACCAGUUUUGUCAUCUUUGCUUUCCUCCCCCGAACAAAGUAAACGAGAAGUGUACGCUUACUGUAUUGUCCCCGCGUGAGUCCAAUAUGGUCCAAACACCGGCAGAAGUUUCAGCCAGCCGUAGCUGCGACAGCAGCAUCAAACAAGCAUCGGAAAAGCUAACCGAAAAAAAAACAAAACUUCGAACAAGAACAAAAUCCUCGAACAAAAGUUAAAUUGAGUUAAUAAACUAUGAAGUGAAGGCAACACAAAAAAACACAUCAUAGAACAUAAAGUUUAACAAGAGAGUGCCUGUUCCGGACAAACGCGCGCGCGACGCACACGAUUUCAGUCCUUUCCAACACCCAUCGUCCCCAUCGUUCCAGAUUAUUCGCCGAAGAAUCUGCUUCUGAACCAGAUUGAAGGGAUCAGAUCCCGGAGGCUGGUGAACCUGUCAGCAGUGUGGUGCUACACGGUGGUCCGGUCUGCUAUGGCUGUGCGUUUCCGGAAGAGACACCGAAGGACAUACCCGUCAGGGCACUGCAUUUUCUUUUUUUUUGUUCUAGUUUCUUUGCUCUGUCACUGCUUCGAUCUGUGCUUGUAGCACAGCUCGACUGCAGACUUCUCUCUCUCGGUUUCCUCUCGGACAGGGCAGACAGGUGGGGACUUUUUUUUUUCUUUAUUCACAUCACCAUCAUCCUCUGUAAUCGGUAGAAUACGUUACGUUACGCGCCGCGCCUUGUCCAGGGUUUGACUUUCGGUCCGGUGGUGAUAGAACCGGUGACCGGCAGACAGACGCCGAAGAGAAGCUGCCAACGCUGAGUUGCUGCUUCGAAUAGCCGUGACCCGUCAGACUGGUCCAAUUCAUCGUUUGCACAUAAAUGAUCUUGCUAUGAAACAUCCAAACUGUCCUUACGGUGUGCUUGCCUCGGCUCAUGAUCACGCGGCCCAUUCCUGCUAGCGAACUGGAAGACAAAUGUUGCUUCAUAAGUUUGGUAAGUA